CCUAGCACCGGUUCCUCAAGCCAAAAGCAUUUGCUUCUCUUUAUCUUGUUCGUUGCGGCUUUGAUGGAGAUUUGAGAAUGAGACAUGGGGUUGCGGUGGUUCGAUUGCGGCAUGAGGAAGGUUUGAGUGGUGUUUUGGAUUGGUAGUUUUUCUUCCGCUGAGGCAUGGCUUUCGAUGAGAAACAGGGUUCUCGAAUUAGGUAGUGGUGGUGGUAUCUGCUUCAAGAGUUGGCGGUGGAGGUCUCUUUGGGUUGCGUUUCUUUUCAAACGGAUUUAAGGUUGCAGACUUAUUUUUGCCAAUCGGUGAACGAUGCUGGUUCAUCAUCUUCAACAAAAAUUGGGUUUCAAUAAAAAAACCCGAGAGUCGUCUUCUUUGCCAUUAGCAGACACAUAUCGAUUUCUAGAACGACGUUUUCCCGGUGAUUUGCGAUAAGUGGUUUGAGCAAAGGAGAAAAAGAUAUCGCCUUUAGCAUCUGAUGGAUCUUCGCCAGCGGAUUUACCAGUGAGAGUGGCUUCACUUCUUCAGACACAAUCAACGAGGUCCCUGGAGAAUAGCCAGUUGAAGAAGCAGGUGGCCAUAUUAUAGCAUGGCAAGCUCAUGAGGGAAGGAAGAGGCUCUUCCAGAUGAUAAAUGAUCUCCCAACCAUUUUUGAGGUUGACAACCACAACAGUAGCAGAAGCAAAUCUAUCGGUGCCAAGCCUCGCCACUCUGAAUCUCACACUAAGGCUUCAAAGAUGUCCCCACCACCAAAAGAAGAAGAUGAGAGUGGAGAUGAGGAGGAAGAUGACGAACAAGGUUACAAUGCAAGCGAUUUGUGUAGGUGAGUACAAGUUAUCAAAGAAGGACCCUCUGAGACUAAAAUCUGGAUUGGGAUACUGAGGGUGCAAUAACAACAAUUAGCUCUAGUGAAUUAUAUAUAGUCUUUUCUAUACCUCUAUUUGUAUGGUUGGAUAAAUACAAAUUAGAACAUCCUCCGUUGCUAUAUUGUCUUCUUUUGAAAUUUAUAAAAUUUAUCAAUUUGCUCUU